rnacentral:rRNA from 1 species
AACGAACGCUGGCGGCAUGCCUAACACAUGCAAGUCGAACGAGACCUUCGGGUUUAGUGGCGUACGGGUGCGUCACGCGUGGGAAUCUGCCCUUAGGUUCGGAAUAACUCCCCGAAAGGGGUGCUAAUACCGGAUAAUGUCUUCGGACCAAAGAUUUCUCGCCUUUGGAUGGGCCCGCGUUGGAUUAGCUAGUUGGUAGGGUAAAAGCCUACCAAGGCGACGAUCCAUAGCUGGUCUGAGAGGAUGAUCAGCCACACUGGGACUGAGACACGGCCCAGACUCCUACGGGAGGCAGCAGUGGGGAAUAUUGGACAAUGGGCGAAAGCCUGAUCCAGCAAUGCCGCGUGAGUGAUGAAGGCCUUAGGGUUGUAAAGCUCUUUUACCCGGGAUGAUAAUGACAGUACCGGGAGAAUAAGCACCGGCUAACUCCGUG